CGCGAUGCGCCGGCGGCGCGGCCGCUCACCCGAAAUCCUGGUCCAUGGACUUGAAGAAGAACUUGUAGCUGUGCACGGGCCGGUUGCUGAGGACAUUUUUGAAAUCGGCCAGCGUGACUUUCUCCGGCGGCACCGGCAGCUUCACCAGGACAGGGACAUUCACUUCUCAGUGUUCAGCUGCUCUCUGUGAAAGGGUAAAUCACAGCUCAGUGACUGAAUUACCUGUCACUGGAAUGAUUUCUCUACCAGCACAAAACAGAGGAACAAACUGUGUUAGUGGCUGCCAGAAGCACUGGAUAAUCCACAACUCAACAAGGUUUAACAACACUGAGAAACCAAAACAUCAUCACCUGCCUGCUGCCAUUUCUGGUUCAGUGAAGGAAUUACAAAAUCCCAGCCACUGGAGUUCUCCAGCUGAUGUUCCUGCCACUCAUCACUGCUAAAUGGGAAUGCUUGUGUGAUCAUCAAACAGGAUAAACAGCAAGGUAAAGUUCUAUAUCCUGCUUUGAUCCUUCACAUUCCUGCCCCUGCACCGUCCAUCCAAGCUGUUUCCAUCAGUGUCCCUGGAAGAACUCUGGUGCCAGCUGGGAUAGUGCUCAGGGGGUGGAAACCCUCCAAGAGCAGAAUGUGCAGCAGGAACUUCGCAAGGUGUGAGUUCUGCAAGCAAAGAGGAAUCUGGGCUGGGAGUGAAAUAACAUAUUCCAGCAGGAUGUGUUAUCUUCCCUUCUGGACCUGCAAAAUUAAAUCCUGUGGAAGAGCUGCCAGCCUUCCCCUCUGAUGGAUGGUUUGAACUCCAUCUCCAGCUGCGGAUCCGCCCGUUACACAACACUUUUGGAGAGCUGCAAUUUCUCCACGGGCCCCAUGACCCUGUCAAAUAAUAAUGUCCCACGUGGAAAGGAUAUUGGAGUCACUGGAAUAGCUUAUUGAAUCCAGUCUGCACUUUGUAAAGCACUUUAGGAUGCUCUGAGAUGAAACACACUGCACAGCUCUUGGGAAGAAUUAGCUAAUGCUGGCUGAUGGCUCAGGUAGCAUCUCCAAAGAGCAAGAAAUAAAACCAACCUUAGCUGGAAACUCCA